GUAGGUGGCAAGCGUUGUCCGGAAUUAUUGGGCGUAAAGCGCGCGCAGGCGGUUCUUUAAGUCUGAUGUGAAAGCCCACGGCUCAACCGUGGAGGGUCAUUGGAAACUGGAGAACUUGAGUACAGAAGAGGAAAGCGGAAUUCCACGUGUAGCGGUGAAAUGCGUAGAGAUGUGGAGGAACACCAGUGGCGAAGGCGGCUCUCUGGUCUGUAACUGACGCUGAGGCGCGAAAGCGUGGGGGAGCAAACAGGAUUAGAUACCCUGGUAGUCCACGCCGUAAACGAUGAGUGCUAAGUGUUAGGGGGUUUCCGCCCCUUAGUGCUGCAGCUAACGCAUUAAGCACUCCGCCCUGGGAGUACGGCCGCAAGGCUG
rnacentral:rRNA from 1 species